UGCAUCGGCCGGGAAUCGAACCCGGGCCGCCCGCAUGGCAGGCGAGCAUUCUACCACUGAAUCACCGAUCC
rnacentral:tRNA from 1 species